AACGAACGCUGGCGGCAGGCUUAACACAUGCAAGUCGAGCGCGCCGCAAGGGGAGCGGCAGACGGGUGAGUAACGCGUGGGAAUCUACCCAUCUCUACGGAAUAACGCAUGGAAACGUGUGCUAAUACCGUAUACGUCCUUCGGGAGAAAGAUUUAUCGGAGGUGGAUGAGCCAGCGUUGGAUUAGCUAGUUGGUGGGGUAAAGGCCUACCAAGGCGACGAUCCAUAGCUGGUCUGAGAGGAUGAUCAGCCACACUGGGACUGAGACAAGGCCCAGACUCCUGCGGGAGGCAACAGUGGGGAAUAGUGGACAAUGGGCGCAAGCCUGAUCCAGCCAUGCCGCGUGAGGGAUGAAGGCCCUAGGGUUGUAAAGCUCUUUCACCGGUGAAGAUAAUGACGGUAACCGGAGAAGAGCCCCGGCUAACUUCGUGCCAGCAGCCGCCGUAACAC
rnacentral:rRNA from 1 species